rnacentral:rRNA from 1 species
AUUGAACGCUGGCGGCAGGCUUAACACAUGCAAGUCGAGCGGGGUGAUGGUGCUCGCACUAUCACUUAGCGGCGGACGGGUGAGUAAUGCUUAGGAAUCUGCCUAUUAGUGGGGGACAACAUCUCGAAAGGGAUGCUAAUACCGCAUACGUCCUACGGGAGAAAGCAGGGGAUCACUUGUGACCUUGCGCUAAUAGAUGAGCCUAAGUCGGAUUAGCUAGUUGGUGGGGUAAAGGCCUACCAAGGCGACGAUCUGUAGCGGGUCUGAGAGGAUGAUCCGCCACACCGGGACUGAGACACGGCCCAGACUCCUACGGGAGGCAGCAGUGGGGAAUAUUGGACAAUGGGGGGAACCCUGAUCCAGCCAUGCCGCGUGUGUGAAGAAGGCCUUAUGGUUGUAAAGCACUUUAAGCGAGGAGGAGGCUCUUCUGGUUAAUACCCAAGAUGAGUGGACGUUACUCGCAGAAUAAGCACCGGCUAACUCUGUGCCAGCAGCCGCCGUAA